AUGGAUCUGGGCAAAGUUGCAGAGGUUGAUCGCGCGCAAGAUGUAGGGGAGGCAGAUUUCUCAGUAGCUGGGGUGGACGCCAGCGGGGUGGAGAUGCAGAAUCCGGUGGGCAUCAAAGACGAUGGCCGUAUUGAUUCAGGGGAAUCGGCCGUGAAGCGAGAUACCCAAGCCCCUGAAUGGAUUAAGAGGUGGGUACCUGCGCUGAUCACUAAGGAAAAAAUAUCACUCUUUUUUUAUCUAUUUGGUGAUGUUGUAAUUUGUCACUGCCCUCGUCUGUUCCAUGAAAUUCAGAAUGUGUACGAACCUAAAUGUUGUCAAAAAGAUGAAAACGGCAAUGAACUGAUUCUUGUUUUUAAAACAGACAGUACGAUGUGA
rnacentral:rRNA from 1 species